ensembl:lncRNA
AUGGAGGAUUUGGAUGUUGUUGCUGCUCAGUUGGCGGCUGACGGCGUGAUGGGUGGUGUUAAUCUGGCCAGCAGUGACGCUGGCGCGCUGCUACUUGGUCGAGCUGGACGGGGCCUUUUAAUGAGAGCGAGUGCAGACCAAAAUAAAAUAGAUAUGAGGCAGAGAGAGCGCGCUGCAGCGUCAGCCUCAUUAAGGCCUCCACUGUCUGGCUAAUGAAUCGAUUGUGUGGUAUCAAUGCUCCUGGCUGGCGCUCCCACAGCGCCGCUCCGCACCUCCUCUGGGGGCCUCCCUUCCACUGAGCUCUUAAUCAGGAAACAGCCCUAAUUACCCUCCCUCCCUCCCUCCUUUUCAUUUCCCUUCCUUCCGCACCCUCACUUUCUCUCCUUCUCGUCUUUCCCUCCGAACGCUCUUUUCCUUUGUCCUUCUUAUCUUGCUGCCUCCCUCCCUCCCUCCCUCUCUCUCUCUGCUAUCAUGCCUCAUCCUUGGGCUAAAAGUGGGAGGGAGGCGGGAGGAGGAGGCAUUUGGGAGCUCCCACAAUAGCUUAUAUCAAGAGAAAGGGGGAGAGGUGGUGAUGUAUUAGGGGUGAGGGUCAGGAUGACUCAGACGGAGCUGCUGCUGUUGCGGAUGUUUUGAGGAUCAGCGGCGGUCGGCGUGGCAACCCCCCACCCCCCCCCCUGCCUCCCCCCAAAUACAAAUCUCCGCCCUGUCUCUUCCCAUCUUGUCCCGGCCCUCAGUACACCACCUCGUACACCGUGGCCUUCUUGUCCCCGGAGCCCGUCACUAUGUACUUGUCGUCCGGGGAGACGUCACAGCUCAGCACAGACGAGGACUCCUUGGACUGGGAGCCCGGCGAGAGAGGAGGGGGGAGAGAGGGGACGUGGGAUGGACGGAGAGAGGAAAAACGAGGAGGAGUUAGAGAGAUACGAGUCAUCCGCUGACACGUGAUCAUAUAAAGUCAUGUUUGCAUUUCAAAACAGUCGGCAAUCAUUUCCAAACAGACGACCCCACAGCUCCAGGACGCUCGUUUGUCUGCUUCCACGUGAGACUCGGUGGUGUCCUCCUCUGGAGACGUGCAGCCUCAUUAGCUGCACGCCUAAGCAGCUGUACGCAGUCUGUGUGAACCGGUAAAAUGCACCAUCGUCUUGCUUCGUCCCCUUUCUCCUCCCGCGUUUCAACGGUAGACCUGGGCACCUGGCUUCAGAUGAUCUCGAGCUCCCUCUGGACCCCCCCCCCCCUCCCCCUUGCCCUCCUACAUCAUCAUUUAUCUUCCUUCCAAGACUCUCCUCCGUGGCUCCCCCC